rnacentral:rRNA from 1 species
CCUACGGGAGGCAGCAGUGGGGAAUUUUGGACAAUGGACGCAAGUCUGAUCCAGCCAUGCCGCGUGUGGGAAGAAGGCCUUCGGGUUGUAAACCACUUUUGUCAGGGAAGAAACGGCUCGGGUUAAUACCUUGGGUUAAUGACGGUACCUGAAGAAUAAGCACCGGCUAACUACGUGCCAGCAGCCGCGGUAAUACGUAGGGUGCAAGCGUUAAUCGGAAUUACUGGGCGUAAAGCGUGCGCAGGCGGUUAUGCAAGACAGAUGUGAAAUCCCCGGGCUCAACCUGGGAACUGCAUUUGUGACUGCAUGGCUAGAGUACGGUAGAGGGGGAUGGAAUUCCGCGUGUAGCAGUGAAAUGCGUAGAUAUGCGGAGGAACACCGAUGGCGAAGGCAAUCCCCUGGACCUGUACUGACGCUCAUGCACGAAAGCGUGGGGAGCAAACAGGAUUAGAUACCCUGGUAGUCCACGCCCUAAACGAUGUCAACUGGUUGUUGGGAGGGUUUCUUCUCAGUAACGUAGCUAACGCGUGAAGUUGACCGCCUGGGGAGUACGGCCGCAAGGUUGAAACUCAAAUGAAUUGACGGCUGNGAGNGCGAGACGACGACGAGGAGAGG